UACGUAGGGGGCAAGCGUUAUCCGGAAUCACUGGGUGUAAAGGGAGCGUAGACGGCUGAGCAAGCCUGAAGUGAAAGGCGGGGGCCCAACCCCCGGACUGCUUUGGGAACUGUACGGCUGGAGUGCAGGAGAGGUAAGUGGAAUUCCUAGUGUAGCGGUGAAAUGCGUAGAUAUUAGGAGGAACACCAGUGGCGAAGGCGGCUUACUGGACUGUAACUGACGUUGAGGCUCGAAAGUGUGGGGAGCAAACAGG
rnacentral:rRNA from 1 species